rnacentral:rRNA from 1 species
UACCAGCUCUCCGAGUGGUAGGGAUGAUUAUUGGGCUUAAAGCGUCCGUAGCCGGCUUAGCAAGUUUCCUGUUAAACUCAGCGACCUAAUCGUUGAAUCGCGGGAAAUACUACUAGGCUAGGAGGCGGGAGAGGUCGACGGUACUUCCGGGGUAGGGGUGAAAUCCUAUAAUCCCGGGAGGACCACCAGUGGCGAAGGCUGUCGACUAGAACGCGCUCGACGGUGAGGGACGAAAGCUGGGGGAGCGAACCGGAUUAGAUACCCGGGUAAUCCCAGCUGUAAACGAUGCGGGCUAGGUGUUGGGGUGGCUACGAGCCACUUCAGUGCCGCAGGGAAGCCAUUAAGCCCGCCGCCUGGGGAGUACGGCCGCAAGGCUGAAACUUAAAGGAAUUGGCGGGGGAGCACCACAAGGCGUGAAGCUUGCGGUUC